CAACCAGCUUGGAAUAAGUUGUUUGGCGACGAUAGUCAAGGGACCAGCCAGUGAGUUCUGGACCAAUUUGGAAUCCCCAGCCAUGUUCUUUUCGUCUCGUUGGAGAGAGAAUGUAGAAGUACAGACCACAUCUGCUCCCUGGGCAACCACGAAGCGACGAAACAUCAAUCCUACCCGCCACUCUCGAGGGUUCGAUGUACAUGUAGCACAUGUAUAGCGCCUUCUACGACGACCCUCAUCAGUUCUUCAAAUUUAACUGUUCUGUAGAAGAAAGUUGUUCUCAUUUUCCUUAACCCAAAAGAGGCUUUGUUUCCAAGCUCAAGAAGUGUGUCCCGCUGGGAGAGGAAUAAGGGACAUGUUUUCCCUCAAAAAAAAAGAUGUUGAUAGCUGCCGGCGACUUAAAACCUGGCUGUCAUUGUUAAAAUCAGUAUUGCCAGAUUUACUUCAUAAUUAUUACAAAAUUAUUUCUGUUCUGUAUAUUAAAUGUAUAUCACUAGCAUAGGCCGUUUUGUACUGAGUAAAAUUGUUUGUAGGCCUUAUGAGUCCUACAUUUUAUUCCUGCAUGUUAAGACCUCCCCAUAUUCAGUCGUUUGUUUUUGUUUUAACUGCUACUAUAAAGGUUUGUCACUAGCUGAUAAUUUGUUGUUUUGCUCUAUCAUUUUUUUAGGGGAGAGGGUUUUUUGAUUUAUAUCGUCUUUACUCGGCUCCACGUUUCCUAUACAUGGUCACUGCUUUUGUACGAGCAUGGUACGAACUUGACUGGUCCGCGUGAGCACGUCUUGACAUGAAGAUCUAACGUGAACUUUUAGUGAGACAUUCAGCUCCGAGUCAGUCAGAACAUGCAUGGCGAAGGCAGCUUUAGCGCAAAGUAUGGUGGGUUAAUCGCCGAACAGUGGAGCGACGGGGAAUUCCCCCUUUUGGCCCGCACGAACAACGUUAUUCCUCACAUCGCAUAAACAUGUCAUGACCUUGCAUACUAGAAUGGUUCAUGUUUAUGACUUCGCCGGCUACGUGGUUUACAGUUUUUAUGACCUUUGUACUUGCUUUUGGAAUAGGUGUUCGUAGACAUUGUUGAUAACAACUGUGUUUAUAGUUUUUCGUCAUGCCAUGACGGUAAUUUUAUUCAGUCAUAAAUCAAUAUUUUUUUCUUGCCCAUUUCAAUGGAACAAAAACAUGAUGAGUAUAGAAACACACACAACUAUUGGGUAGCAUAAUA